UGUGGGAGCGAGCUUGCUCGCGAUGGCGCCCGACCAGUCAGCAUUUAUAUUGACUGACCCACCGCUAUCGCGAGCAAGCUCGCUCCCACA
rnacentral:misc_RNA from 1 species